UACCUGCAGCUCGAGUGGUAACCGCUAUUAUUGGGCCUAAAGCGUCCGUAGCCGGUUUGGUAAAUAUCUGGGUAAAUCGUGAGGCUUAACUUCACGAAUUUCGGAUAGACUGCCAGACUUGGGAUCGGGGGAGGUCAGAGGUACUCCAGGGGUAGCGGUGAAAUGUUGUAAUCCUUGGAGGACCACCGGUAGCGAAGGCGUCUGACUAGAACGAGUCCGACGGUGAGGGACGAAGCCCUGGGGCGCAAACCGGAUUAGAUACCCGGGUAGUCCAGGGUGUAAACAAUGUGGGCUUUGUAUUGGAGAUCCCACGUGGGUGUCCAGUGCAGAAGAGAAGUUGUUAAGCCCACCGCCUGGGAAGUACGGUCGCAAGGCUGAAACUUAAAGGAAUUGGCGGGGGAGCACAGCAACGGGAGGAGCGUGCGGUUU
rnacentral:rRNA from 1 species